GUUCCAGGAUACAGCAUUACAUUUAGUCUUCAUGUCUCCAUAGGCUCCUCUUGGCUGUGACAAUUUCUCAUACUUUCCUCAUUUUUGAUGACCUCGACAAUGUUGAGGAGUACUGACUGCCCUGUUCUAAAGCCUCAGAGUCUUCUGCUUCAGUUGGCAGAAAGGGAAAGAGACAGUGGAGGAGCCACUUCAGAUUCAUAAAAACCCCAGCUUAGAGGUGGUUCUAAUAUUUCCCAAGCCGUCUCUAUCACUGGUGGUGGCAGGGACAGCGCCCUGAAAUUUUCCCUGGAGGAACAGAAUUUAAGUUUGCAUCAUGGAUAAGAAGUGAGUAUAAAGUGUCCUUUCCUUCCACCAGCUCAGUCAUAUAUUUCUCUUCUAGUUGAAUAACAAUUAAUAAAAGUGUUAGGCUAAAACUCUCCUCACUAACUUGGGCUAUGUCAGCAUUCCUUAGCUUAAUUCUUAUGGCUUUGUUUUUCAAGAGUGUCCUUAAAUAUCCAAUACAGUAUUUAAAAAAUUAAUAUUUUGAGAUGAAUCAGUAGGUGUUUGGAUUUUUGAAAGUGUAGUUAUUGCCUCUACCUACCGAUCCCUCUUUGUAUGUAAGAGACAUUCUAUGUAUCUAUGUAUCUAUAAGUAAGAGGCAUUUCUGAUGUUUAUAACAUAGGAUAACCACAUUCACCCCAGAUGCUCUAAUUACAUUGCUUUUAUCAAUAAAGAAGCCAUUAGUAGAUUCAGAAUACUGAACAAAAGGUCCAAAAUCCUUGGAGAGUAAAGA